rnacentral:lncRNA from 1 species
UUUAAGAAUUAUUAUUAAUUAUUUUUUAAGGUUCAUUUGGUUGUUGACUAUCCCCUUGGUUAGAUGUACAUGCCCCCUCCUAAUUUUAUUACCCUGUCAGCCUGGAGGAAAUAAGAUUGGUGUUGUGGCGUGGAAGAGAGACAGGAAAAAGGAAAGAUGCAGUUAAACUUUCUAAACGAGUGUCAAGUGACGCCCUCAGUAGAUCUACAAACAAACCAAGUGCUUCUGGAAGAGCAUGUCUGCAAUUUUGGCUUUUCUGUCUCAAAGCUGCAAAAAAAAUUUAAUGUUUUUGAAAGCAAGCAAGUAAUAUCUUCUGGAUGAGUUACUCCAAGAAGUAGACUGCUUGUGUCAGUCAGUCCAGCAGAGCUUUACAUAGCACUUACUGAAGAAAAAUACCCAAUAACCUGUGUUUCCAAAGUGAUGGAAAAAAUUAAGCAAAUAGACAGAAUCCUUGUCCUGAAGUACAUAAAUCCAGGUAACCAGCUCUGAUAGACCUGGGAAGCUCAGCCAAGAUGCAUGUUUGCAAAGAUCCAAACAAUUUAAACAAAACACCCUAAAGAGUUGACUGCUGGAUGCAUGAAACGAAAGAGAUACGAUCUGAUUUGGGGAAAAGCCACGAUAUUCUUACAAUUUAGUGCCAAAAAUCAGUAUCAGCAGUUUGGAUAGAAUGCUCCCUCACCAUGUUAAGAACACUCGUAACAGGACAGAGGGGUUGAAGAUGCCCCUGGGGACUUGAUUUAGGGAGUAUAUGAACCCUCACAGCCCAGUGGCUGUUUUAUCAGAAUGUCACCUACCCUGAAAAUCUGUAUGACUGUGAGGGCAACUGGUUGAAUGACUCUUGUGUCUCCUAGAAGAAGCAAACAACAAAGCAAAACUACAAUGUUUGAGGAAAAAAUGCAACAUCACACGUGGCAGACCUGCUCAUCACCAGGGCCUGUGACACAAGUCUGGAAAAGUCACCACAAAAAGCCCACGUGUCUGUAGCUCUUGUCAUAUGGUCAUGUGUUGCCUGCCCAACAGCAAAGUUUGAGAACCAGACAAAUCUAUGUCCUCAGCCCAAGAGAAGGAGGAGUAAAUAUCAGUUGAGCCACCCGUGAGCUGAUUUCCAGGAAGAAACUGAGUAGGCAAAGAAGUGGCAGGAGCUUUACCAGUGUUCACACCUGUUCUUCUGACUGGAGACAAGAGAAGCCUCAUCUUCUCAUGCGUCCCAAAAUACCACUCUGGAUUGAGUGUCCAAUAUAGCAUCGCUUAUGAAGAUAUUAAAACCUUCAAUAAAUCUUACGUCAGAGAGUUCAGGAGCUGAUUGCAACACGGAAUGAGAAGAACAUCUUCGGGCAGAGGUGG